UAGUGGUUUUCCAUUUGGGUGACGGUGUA
rnacentral:piRNA from 1 species